UCGUCCAGCAGGUCGGCCUCGCCAAAGAAUUCGCCGUCACCCAGCAGGGCAAUACGCAGUUCCUCGCCGUGAGGACCCUUGCUGAUGACCUCAGCCUGUCCGCUGGCUAUGAUGAAGAACUUCUGCUUGUCUUUACCUUCUUCCACAAAGAGUUUGCCCAAUUCCACCUCAACGGUCUCGAAGCUACGUGCCAGACGGUUCACGAUCUCGUCGUCGAACUCUGAGAACAGAGGAAUGGCCUUCAGGCUUUUUGCCGAGAACGACGGUACACCGUCAAGAUAUUGAAUAGGCAGUCGCUCGCUCUUGCGUAGCUCAACCUUUGUGCGGUUCACGCGGAAGGUACCGCCUGACACCUGUACCCAGGGCAACAGUUUCAGGAGGAGUCUCGGUGUGAUACUGCCCAUCUGCGGGGCGGUCUUGGUGGUGGUCGCCAGUCUUCUGGCGGUAGCAGUG
rnacentral:antisense_RNA from 1 species